rnacentral:rRNA from 1 species
UACGUAGGGGGCAAGCGUUGUCCGGAUUUAUUGGGCGUAAAGAGCGUGUAGGCGGUUAGGUAGGUCCGUUGUGAAAACUCGAGGCUCAACCUCGAGACGCCGGUUGAAACCAUCAGGCUAGAGUCCGGAAGAGGAGAGUGGAAUUCCCGGUGUAGCGGUGAAAUGCGCAGAUAUCGGGAAGAACACCCGUGGCUAAGGCGGCUCUCUAGUACGGUACUGACGCUGAGACGCGAAAGCGUGGGGAGCGAACAGG